rnacentral:rRNA from 1 species
UACGGGGGGGGGCAAGCGUUGUUCGGAAUUACUGGGCGUAAAGGGCUCGUAGGUGGCCAACUAAGUCGGACGUGAAAGCCCCGAGCUUAACUUGGGAAUGGCGCUUGUGACUGGUAGGCUGGAGUGUGGCAGAGGGAGGUGGAAUUCCACGUGUAGCAGUGAAAUGCGUAGAGAUGUGGAGGAACACCGAUGGCGAAGGCAGCCUCCUGGGCCAGCACUGACGCUCAUGCACGAAAGCGUGGGGAGCAAACAGG